AUGAGUGCAGAACAGUGCUGGUUGAGAGGGCAUUUAAAUGUAUGUGAGUGUGUGUUAGGAAUGAAUGGCUCCUUAUCUGUAUAAGUGUAGUAUCUCUGUAAACCGUAAAAUAUUGUGUUGAUUGCUGUCACUUCUUAAGUAGCUGUUUCUUCUGACAGCAACAGACUCAUCCUGAACUCUUUUCUGUGUUGGAUAAAGGAGGACAAUCAUUUGGGUUUUGCUUAAACUAAACUUCAGUGGUGUUUCUGAUUUAAGCUGGGAUCUUUUUGUACAGUUGCUGGAGCAGCGUUCCUCUGGGCUUUGCGUGAUGUUUAUUACUCUACAGAGCUUAUCCUUGCAACUCAGGAUGACAUCGGUAGGGGACACAGACAUACUGCUUAUUCAUCCCUUUGUACAUCAACACUCCUUUGUCAUUUUUCCUAUCCAUCAAGUGCAACAGAGAAAAACAGAGAUGUUGCAUGGUAGACUGAAACAGAACACUCUUUUAGAUGAAGAUGGAGGGGCCUGGUCUUCCUCCCAGAUCGUUUGCUGCUCGACAAGGUACAUAGACAUGCACAUACACAGUGUAGGAUAAAAAAGACAGUGUGCCCAUGUACGAGAGAGAGAGAGAGAGAGAGAGUGUGAGAGAGAAUGAGAGCAUGUGUGAUGUUUAUCUCUGAAUAAAUAAAUCAUUUUGUGAUUCACAGAUGGCUCACUGCAGCAGUGGAUGAGGAUGGUCUGUCUGGAUGUGUCGGUGUGUGUGCUUGUCCAACCAAUGUCACGUUAUUCCUGAUGGAUUUGGUUCGUGUUAGGUGACAUGGAGCCAUCUGGGGGAUCCUACAGUGAAUUUUUACAAAGCUCAUCGUUCUGAAAAGAGAGGUGUACGCUGUUUGGCUACCAAACCCAGUUGUGAUUGGCUGAAUGCCUCAAGCAUGUGACGGAAAUGUUACGCCCCUCACCAUACUGUGAUGCCGUCUCCAGUGGCGAAGCGCAAACUGCGCAGCCCAACCCACCGCAAGAGUGAAAGUCGAAGCACUCUCUGCAUCAUCAAAACUGCACAUACAAGUGCCGUGCCAUAUACUGUUGUUUAUUUUGCAUGCAACUAUUUACUGCUAUCUAUAUGUAAUGUUUUUUUUGUACAAUUUAUUUUGUGUUAAAACUGUCCGUUUACAAAUGAGAAUACAACGAGUCAUGCCUUUUUGUUCCUCUUUUUUUUUUUUUUUUUUACAUUUAAACUAAUCAUAAAAAGCAUUUAGGGGAAGAAUGCAAUAAACCAUUUCACCUUCAAAAACAUACAAAACGUCCCUUUCUCUUAGCAUUUGUCUGAUAUGUUCAACUGACGUUGCAAGCUGGCUUUCAAUGCUGAAAAUCGCAAGUUCGGAAAGCCUGUCCUGACUCAUUGUGCUUCUCAGGCAGGUUUUUAUUAGUUUAAGUUUAGAAAAAGACCUCUUGCAACUUGCCACUGUCACAGGGAUGGUUAAAAAAGGUUUAGAAAUAUUCGAAAAUAGGAAUAGUUCACUUUAUUAUUUAAAAAAACAUUAUGCCUUUGUUUUUCGGUUACGCGUUGUGUAAAAAUAAAAACAAGCCUGCAUUUGUGAUCGGAAAAAGACAACAAGCUCUACUCCACACUGCUCAAAACUCACGUUUGAAGUGGCAAAUUCUUUAAAUAUGUAAACGUACUUACAAGCUGUGAGUCAGAUACGGCAGAUUGUCCUUGCAAAGUAGGAAUUGCCUCACUUUAUAGAAACAGCCUUUUUGCACAGUAGCAUUGUUGGCUACUGGUUUAGGAAACAGUCCUUGUCCUCUGUAAAAUGCGUUGCACACAUCUGAAUAUUUGGGUUGAACUUUUCUGGAACAGUGUUGUAAAUACAAGUUAACCACUGAUUUCCAGUUAUGUCUUCUUUUGGAAGGCCAAACUAAGUUUUGCUUUCACAACCAAACACACAGCUUCUCCACAACAUGGCAGCAGCGGCAACAGUGAGAAUAAAAGUUACACCUUCUUUCUUUGCGUGGACAUUUGGGUGGUUUUAUGCAAAUCUUCCCACAUGACGUAGACAUGCAGGGGAUUGUUAUAAUGAGCCGUUUUAGGUAGUAGUGGUUGAGACUUUAGUCUUCGCAACUUUACAGAUCUUCUUUAUGCACCAAGAGCUUGUAACACUCCAAAGAAAAAGGAAAAUUUUUAAUCAUAUGACCCCUUUAAAAGAAAUGACCACUAGUUUUUAGAGUGUAUAUGUGUGGAAGGUGUACACUUCAUUCCUGUGGAAAGUGAAAUGGGUGUUUUUAAGAUGUGAAUAAGCAAUGAAGGUGUGAAUUAUCAUUGUGGAGAAUAAGUGGUUGUAUCUUCUUCUUUUGAGUGGAGGAGGUGUGGUUGAAUUUCCAAUCUAACACUCAGUCUUGCUCUGGAACUCCUUCCUGCAAAAUUGAGGUUCAAUCAAACAGACGAGAAUCAGGGUACAAGAAAAUAAGUCAGAAUUUCUGUCAAAUAUAUAUUUAAAGGUAGUUUUUCAUAGGGAAAAGUGAUAUUGAAAAAAUAUUCAAGGCACACUUGCAAUUUACAAAUGUCAAAAUACUAUUGUAAAUAGCUAUUUCAUCAUAGAAACAUUUAAAAAGAGCAAAUAACAGCUGCGAACCUAUGCGUUUUUGCAAUGGUAGUAACCUUUUAAUAUUUCUGAAUUUGAAGUCUGCCUUGGAUUAACUAAUAAAGCUAUUCAUGGUCAUAUAUUUGAAAACAUAAAAUGUACCGCAUUUAAAUUCAAGUACUCUAGCACUCUUCUAUGCCACAUUGUAACAUGAAUAUUUUAAAUGCUAAACCAACAAAAUAUGUGCUAAGAACAUUUUGCUAACAUUGUUAUUUCUGAUUAUUUAAAAAUGUUUUGUUGGUUAUAUGACCACAAUUGUGAAUGAGACUUGAGGUAAUCUGACAAUGUUGCACUCCACCAAUGCCAUCUCAUUGUAUCGCAGGUUACAUCCCCUUCACAUGGGGCGUCAGCGGUAACGCUUGACUGAGAGCAUUUCUGACGCUUGGUACUGAUGUGAACGUCAUAGUGGUAACAGCCAAUCACAUUAGUUUUCUAGUGUUGCAUGAACUCAAUUGGCUAGCAUGUGUGCUAGGGAAUUUGCAUAAGGCAACAUGAUUGGCUGCCUCCUGUGUUGGCAUUUGAAAAGUUUAAAGGUUUUCAACUUCUGCCAUGAGCAGUGGACCCAAUGCGACGCGACUGACCUGCAAUUAAUUUCGACAGCGUCUGAUGUGACUCCAUUAAAAGUAAAUGGGAGAUGCUGAUGCCCCGUGUGAAUGUGCCAUAGCCUUUACGCCAUAUGCGUCAGUUUUUAUUUAUACUUCUGUGUCGUUGUCCGCAUCGACAUGCAGUACACAUGCAAACCACUAGUCUGCAGUGUCCAUGGGCAUGUUGCCGGUGUAACCUGCAGUACCACAACAAAAGCCGAAGAAGCCAAAAUAUCAAAUCAUUAAAUCAUUAUUUAACCUACAAAAGGAGAUAACAAUGAAACAGGAGAUGAUGGCAUUCUUUCCUUAUUCACACGGACUUGUACCAAGUCAGAUCAACAUUGUUUGUCACGGACAACUACUGUAUAAUGCUAUGUAGUAUAAUAAAUGAUAAGACACUU